rnacentral:rRNA from 1 species
GAUGAACGCUGGCGGCGUGCUUAACACAUGCAAGUCGUACGGUAAGGCCCUUUCGGGGGUACCCGAGUGGCGAACGGGUGAGUAACACGUGAGUAACCUGCCCACAACUUUGGGAUAACGCUAGGAAACUGGUGCUAAUACUGGAUAUGUGCUCCUGCUGCAUGGUGGGGGUUGGAAAGCUCCGGCGGUUGUGGAUGGACUCGCGGCCUAUCAGCUUGUUGGUGGGGUAGUGGCCUACCAAGGCGGCGACGGGUAGCCGGCCUGAGAGGGUGACCGGCCACAUUGGGACUGAGAUACGGCCCAGACUCCUACGGGAGGCAGCAGUGGGGAAUAUUGCACAAUGGGCGCAAGCCUGAUGCAGCAACGCCGCGUGCGGGAUGACGGCCUUCGGGUUGCAAACCGCUUUCAGCAGGGACGAAGCUUUUUGUGACGGUACCUGCAGAAGAAGCACCGGCUAACUACGUG